rnacentral:tRNA from 1 species
AGCGCCAGACUGCGGAUCUGGAGGUUGGGGGUUCGAAUCCCCCCGGGCACGCCA